GAGUGUGUGUGUGUGAAUCUGUGUGUGUGAGUGUGUCAGUGUGCAUGAAUCUGUGUGUGUGAGUGUGUCGGUGUGUGUGAAUCUGUGUGAGUGUGCAGGUCAGACAGAAUGUCUCUGGGAGAGCAGUUGAACACAGACGUUGGGCCUACUUGAGUUUGUCCUGGGCCUACCAGAGUCUGUGAUGCUGGGCCUACUCAAGUCCAUGGUGGCCUACUUGAGACUGCACUGCUGGGCCUAUUUGAGUCUGUGCUGCUGAACCUACUCGAUUCCCCGCUGCUGGGCCUACUCGCUACCAUUCAUGCCGUCGCUGCAACUGAGCUCUUCACCAAGAAGUAAAGCAAAAUAAAAGAGAGAAAGAAACAAGAGAAGAAAUGAAAGGUGAAGUGGGAGUGGUCCCCCCCAGCUCAGACGCCCUGCCCCACCACCAUCUUACUGGGAAGUGAGGGAUCUGAUAGGACUGCCUACAAAAAAAACCAACGCAUCGAUGGCCUGCCGUGCUGCCCCGGUUGGGAAAUCCUCUGAUACCAGGCUUCAUUUUCUACAGAACCUUCAGAUUCUGCAGGACACCCUCUGGCUCCUCUCCUUCUGCUGAGCACUGUCCUGGGCUGAACAUUAUACCAGCUUAUGGAGGCGGUUUCCUUAUCAACCUGCUCUGGAGAUGGUGUGAUAUACCGCCAGAGCAGGUGAGACUGAACUGGGCCUCCUGACCUAGAGGUAGGGCCACUACCAGCAUUCCACAUAAACUAGUUGUUUAGCUAAUUUUGUCUUGAUGAGAGAAGUAUGAUUCAGAAUAAAGCCAGCAGUGCAGGAUCCA